rnacentral:rRNA from 1 species
UACGUAGGGCGCAAGCGUUGUCCGGAAUUAUUGGGCGUAAAGAGCUCGUAGGUGGCUUGUCACGUCGGGUGUGAAAGCUUGGGGCUUAACUCCAGGUCUGCAUUCGAUACGGGCUGGCUAGAGGUAGGUAGGGGAGAACGGAGUUCCUGGUGUAGCGGUGAAAUGCGCAGAUAUCAGGAGGAACACCGGUGGCGAAGGCGGUUCUCUGGGCCUUACCUGACGCUGAGGAGCGAAAGCGUGGGGAGCGAACAGG